rnacentral:rRNA from 1 species
CGNGACGGGUGAGUAACACGUGGGUAACCUACCUAUAAGACUGGGAUAACUUCGGGAAACCGGAGCUAAUACCGGAUAAUAUUUCGAACCGCAUGGUUCGAUAGUGAAAGAUGGUUUUGCUAUCACUUAUAGAUGGACCUGCGCCGUAUUAGCUAGUUGGUAAGGUAACGGCUUACCAAGGCGACGAUACGUAGCCGACCUGAGAGGGUGAUCGGCCACACUGGAACUGAGACACGGUCCAGACUCCUACGGGAGGCAGCAGAG